UGCCCUAGUAACGGCGAGUGAAGCGGCAACAGCUCAAAUUUGAAAUCUGGCGUCUUCGGCGUCCGAGUUGUAAUUUGCAGAGGGCGCUUUGGCAUUGGCAGCGGUCCAAGUUCCUUGGAACAGGACGUCACAGAGGGUGAGAAUCCCGUACGUGGUCGCUAGCCUUUACCGUGUAAAGCCCCUUCGACGAGUCGAGUUGUUUGGGAAUGCAGCUCUAAAUGGGAGGUAAAUUUCUUCUAAAGCUAAAUACUGGCCAGAGACCGAUAGCGCACAAGUAGAGUGAUCGAAAGAUGAAAAGCACUUUGGAAAGAGAGUUAAAAAGCACGUGAAAUUGUUGAAAGGGAAGCGCUUGCAGCCAGACUUGCCUGUAGUUGCUCAUCCGGGUUUCUACCCGGUGCACUCUUCUAUAGGCAGGCCAGCAUCAGUUUGGGCGGUUGGAUAAAGGUCUCUGUCAUGUACCUCUCUUCGGGGAGAACUUAUAGGGGAGACGACAUGCAACCAGCCUGGACUGAGGUCCGCGCAUCUGCUAGGAUGCUGGCGUAAUGGCUGUAAGCGGCCCGUCUUGAAACACGGACCAAGGAGUCUAACAUCUAUGCGAGUGUUUGGGUGUCAAGCCCGAGCGCGUAAUGAAAGUGAACGGAGGUGGGAACCUUUCGGGGUGCACCAUCGACCGAUCCUGAUGUCUUCGGAUGGAUUUGAGUAAGAGCAUAGCUGUUGGGACCCGAAAGAUGGUGAACUAUGCUUGAAUAGGGUGAAGCCAGAGGAAACUCUGGUGGAGGCUCGCAGCGGUUCUGACGUGCAAAUCGAUCGUCAAAUUUGGGCAUAGGGGCGAAAGAC
rnacentral:rRNA from 1 species